UACGUAGGCAGCAAGCGUUGUUCGGAGUUACUGGGCGUAAAGGGUGUGUAGGCGGUUGGAUAAGUGUGGUGUGAAAUCUCCCGGCUUAACUGGGAGGGUGCGCUACAAACUGUCUGACUAGAGUGUGGGAUGGGUAAGUGGAAUUCCUGGUGUAGCGGUGAAAUGCGUAGAUAUCAGGAGGAACACCGGUGGCGAAAGCGCUUGUCUGGCCCAAUACUGACGCUGAUGCGCGAAAGCUAGGGGAGCAAACGGG
rnacentral:rRNA from 1 species